UCAAUGGAUGAGACUGGCGCUGAAGAACAACACUGUGUACAGUGAUUUCAAAUCUGUAUAGAGUAAGGUUUUAUGAGAUGCCGUCAUUUGCACAAAACACAAUCAAAUUUAAAAUGAGCAAA